rnacentral:rRNA from 1 species
AUUAAUAAUUAAUAUAUUUAAUAAAAAUAAUUUUAAUUUAAUAAGUAUUUUAAUGGGGGUUAAAGUAUUUUUUAAAGAAAAAAUUUUUAAAUUUAUAGUUAAUUAGUAUUGUGAAAGAAUUUUGAAAUAUUAUGAAAAAUAAAAUUUUUAGAAAGUAAUUUUUAUUUAUUGUAUCUUGUGUAUCAGAGUUUAUUAAAAAUUUUUAAUUUAUGAAUUAAUUUCUCGAAUUUAAAAGAGUUAAAUAAUUAUUAAAGUUAUUGUAGCAAAAUUAUUUUAAAUAAUUAUUUAGAAAUGAAAUGUUAAUCGUUUUUAAAUAUAUCUAGUUUUUAUAGAAAAAAAUUUAAUUUUAAAUUUAAAAAUUAUUUAAUUAAUUUAUUAAUUAAAUAGUUACUUAAAUUUUAUAAUUUAAGGGAUAAGCUUUAAAUUAAAUUUUUAUAAUAUUAAAUUUUUAUUUUGAAAAUUUUAUAAUUUAUAUUGUUAAUAAAUUUUAUUUUGUUAUAAAUAAUUUCAUUUUUUUUAAAAUUUAAAUUUUAUUUAAUUUUUUAUAUAAAAUUUAUUUAUAAUUAUAUAAAGUUAAUUAUAAUGAUAAAAUUAGUAUAUUAUUUAAUAUUAAAUUAAAAUUAAUUUUUGAUUAAUAAUUAAAUUAAUUAAAAGGAAUUCGGCAAAUAUUUAUUUUCACUUGUUUAUCAAAAACACGUCUUUUUGUUAUUUAAUUUAAAGUCUAAUCUGCCCACUGAUUUAUAAAAAUUGAAGGGCUGCAGUAUAUUGACUGUACAACGGUAGCAUAAUCAUUAGUCUCUUAAUUGGUGACUUGUAUGAAAGAUUGGAUGAAAAAUAUACUGUCUCUUAAUUAAUAUAUAGAAUUUAAUUUUUUAUUUAAAAAGUUAAAAUAACUUAAAAAGACGAGAAGACCCUAUAGAGUUUAAUAAAUUAUUUUAUGAAAGUUUUAUUUAUAUUUAUUAAUAAUUUUAUAAAUUUAUUUAUUUAGUUGGGGUGAUAAAAAAAUAAAUUUAACUUUUUUUAAGUAAUUUACAUGGAUAAGUGAUUAAU